rnacentral:rRNA from 1 species
CUGCAGCUCAAGUGGUGACCGCUAUUAUUGGGCCUAAAACGUUCGUAGCCGGUUUGGUAAAUGUUUGGGUAAAUCGUGUAGCUUAACUAUACGAAUUCCGGAUAGACUGCCAAACUUGAGACCGGGAGAAGCUAGAGGUACUCCUGGGGUAGAGGUGAAAUUCUGUAAUCCUAGGGGGACCACCAGUGGCGAAGGCGUCUAGCUAGAACGGGUCUGACGGUGAGGAACGAAGCCCUGGGGCGCAAACCGGAUUAGAUACCCGAGUAGUCC